rnacentral:ncRNA from 1 species
CGACCUCAGAUCAGACGUGGCGACCCGCUGAAUUUAAGCAUAUUAGUCAGCGGAGGAAAAGAAACUAACCAGGAUUCCCUCAGUAACGGCGAGUGAACAGGGAAGAGCCCAGCGCCGAAUCCCCGCCCCGCGGUGGGGCGCGGGAAAUGUGGCGUACGGAAGACCCACUCCCCGGCGCCGCUCGUGGGGGGCCCAAGUCCUUCUGAUCGAGGCCCAGCCCGUGGACGGUGUGAGGCCGGUAGCGGCCCCCGGCGCGCCGGGCCCGGGUCUUCCCGGAGUCGGGUUGCUUGGGAAUGCAGCCCAAAGCGGGUGGUAAACUCCAUCUAAGGCUAAAUACCGGCACGAGACCGAUAGUCAACAAGUACCGUAAGGGAAAG